rnacentral:rRNA from 1 species
GCGUCCUACGGGACGCAGCAGUGAGGAAUAUUGGUCAAUGGGCGGGACCCUGAACCAGCCAAGUCGCGUGAGGGAUGACGGCCCUAUGGGUUGUAAACCUCUUUUGCCGGGGAGCAAAGUGCCGCACGUGUGCGGUUUGGAGAGUACCCGGAGAAAAAGCAUCGGCUAACUCCGUGCCAGCAGCCGCGGUAAUACGGAGGAUGCGCGCGUUAUCCGGAUUUAUUGGGUUUAAAGGGUGCGUAGGCGGACGCUUAAGUGAGCGGUAAAAUUGCGG